UAUGGGAGGAACUUUAAGGAAUGUCACCUCAACGUCACCGCAGUGAAGGAUCGGCCUGAGACAACAAGUGAUACGAGUCUGAGAAGAAGUCCUCAGGGAAUGAUCGGCCUCUACUCUGCACUGGGACUGACCGCUGUACUGGGUUUUUAUUUAUUUUAUCUCUGCAUGGCAAAAAAUAUUAGAGAUCAACACAACAAACGAACCACAUCUGUAUCUUGGACAUCUUGGAUCUUGUAAAGUGGACGUUACAAUUUAAUUGUGUUGUUGUGCAACUGGUCAGACCGGCCGUCUGAGGAACUAGCUUUUUCCCAGAGCUGUUACAUUACAUUACAGGUCACCCUUUUGAACUCUUUCCCCCCCCUCUGGUCCCCAUUACACUACUCUAUCUGCACUGAAGACACUUUAUACCAUUUGUUUACUCUCAAUUCAAUAUGCACUUAAUAUUUGCACUAGUUUAGCAACCCCUGAUGGUUUCUGUUUAUAUCUCCACAUUUAAUGUGAAUCUGUCUGUUUUGCCUAAUUUAUUACCAAAUAGUACCAUAGGCCAUAAGACAACCUCUGUAUAGUGUUUAAUGUAUCUAUGAUCUGUAUAUACUGUUAUCUAUUAAAAUACUUUCUGUUGCACUGGUUUGAUGCCAAACUGCAUUUCGCUGCUCGCUACUUGUACAUGUGUAAUGACAAUAAAGUUGAAUCUAAUGGUU